ensembl:lncRNA
CGCGUUCUCGCCAGGCAGGUUACACAACAGCAGACUGCAACGGAAUCAGGUUCCACCGAAGGAAAUCACCGCCUUCAUGGCGCUUCGAUUACACCUGAGAUAAGAGGAGGGGAAGGCAAGAAGAUAGCACAGCCUGCCGGGCAGUGGAGGUGCUGGGCCGCGAAAAUGGCUUUAGUCUGUGCAGGGACCGGAAAAGUAAGGAGUAUUCUUCCUGUUUCGAGGACGAGGAAUCCCAGGCUUAGGGGAGAUUGGUCAACGACCUUUGAAUUGAGGCCAUUCGACUUCAGAGGCCAGGUUUCUAAACCUGGUCCUGCUACCCCUGAGCUGUAGAAACUGGACCAAGGUGGCUCGGGUGUGUUGUGACUGGGUGCUGUUCAUUUGUAGAUGGUUGAGGGCCCUCCCUCUGGAUGAGCAUGACACCUGGAGAGCUUGUAAGGUCUCAUGGAAAUACUGCACUUCAAGUUAUUUAAGAAGGGUCCGAAGGACGUCCAGCCUCUUGAAGUGAUAAUCAAAUGCAAUCGGACUUCCUUAGAAGCAGCAAAGUUACAGUCGUGGACCAUAUCUGGCAGGGCUUCCAGACUUACAGCACAUGCCAGGCAUAAUUGAAUGUUACAAGAAUAGGAAGUCCUCUCCCAGAAUACUCCCCAUGACAGAUGGCAGAAUUACACCAGGAGAGACCCAGAAGAGGAACACAAGCAAGGGCGCCACAGGACGAUGUUUUCCUGCCUCCUCUUAAUUGCUGCUGGGAGAGUCCAGUCUUGAAUUAGUAUCUAAUCUGGACCGCUUUCCUUAAAGCUGAUUACUUGGAGGCCAGAAGAUGGCAGCUCUGGAGAACUACUGACAUGGCAUCUGAGCAUUUCUUUACUGAGGUGGCAUACCUUGCCCCAGAAAAAUCAGAAGCAUUUACAGUGCACAAAUAUACUAAGAGCCUUGCCAAGCCUCCAGAGAUGAACAGUAUAUGCCCUAGAUCUUCAAGGAGAUGCUGAACUCACUGGUACCACAGAGGAUGAGGGAAAAGAAAGAGUCCAAGGGAACAGAGAGAAAGACGAAUGUAAAAAUGUGCACUUAACAACUUCCAAAUUCUGAGACAACUGCCUUCACAGUUUCAACUGGAAAUACACCUUUACUAGUCCAGCAAUCUUCAAGGACUGGGCCAAGGAGAAAGAGCUCCUGGGAAUCACAAUUUUGCUGCUCAUCCUUUAAGAAACCCCAGUUUAAGUGGAAGUUAAUACAGAGAUUUCUCAGUCACAGAGUCAGCUUUUAAUAUGUGCAAAGUCUGUGUUGGUUUGGAAAACUUUGCCCUUGUAUCAAUAGCAGCUUUUGUAACCAACUUCAAU